UACGGAGGGGGCUAGCGUUAUUCGGAAUUAUUGGGCGUAAGGGGCGUGUAGGCGGCUUCGUGUGUCCCAUGUGGAAGCCCUCGGCUUAACCGAGGAACUGCAUGGGAAACUGCGGAGCUUGAGUCCGGGAGAGGAGAGCGGAAUUCCCAGUGUAGCGGUGAAAUGCGUAGAUAUUGGGAGGAACACCAGUGGCGAAGGCGGCUCUCUGGACCGGUACUGACGCUGAGACGCGAAAGCCAGGGGAGCAAACGGG
rnacentral:rRNA from 1 species